rnacentral:rRNA from 1 species
UCGAGGAUCAUUGACAAUGCGCGAAAGCGUGAUCAUGCGACGCUGCGUGGAGGAUGACGGCAUUCGUGUUGUAAACUCCUGUCAUUCGGGAAAAAUAACGCGGGGAUUAAUAAUUCCUGUGAUUGAUGUUACC